UACGUAGGGGGCAAGCGUUAUCCGGAAUUACUGGGUGUAAAGGGAGCGUAGACGGUGAUGUAAGUCUGGAGUGAAAGGCGGGGGCCCAACCCCCGGACUGCUCUGGAAACUGUCAGGCUGGAGUGCGGGAGGGGUAAGCGGAAUUCCUAGUGUAGCGGUGAAAUGCGUAGAUAUUAGGAGGAACACCGGCGGCGAAGGCGGCUUACUGGACCGUAACUGACGUUGAGGCUCGAAAGCGUGGGGAGCAAACAGG
rnacentral:rRNA from 1 species